GAAAGAAGAUCCUAUACGUCAUCAGAAAGAGACAUGAUUCUUAUGCAUUAGACACGAUUAGACAUCCAUGAAAAUAUACACGAGACAGCUGCUAACAGAAAGUGGAACAAAGUGCCCUGAGUAAAUGUAGCCGCUUUACAGCUGAGAGCAGGCAAAGAGUCAGACUCCUGCCACACCGGAGCGUACAGCUCAGAGCCGGGCGUACAGUUAGACGCAGGUCAGAGGUCAUGUGCCAGGUGGAGGAGGAGUACCACGGGCCGCUGCUGCGCGAGGAGCUGCCCAGUGUUUCUAGGCAAUGUGUGAAAUGCAAAGAGGCAAGUGCAGCGGUGGUGAUCCGAGCAGGAGAUGCAUACUGCAGGGGCUGUUUCAAGGAGUACUUUAUUCAUAAGUUCAGAGCCAUGCUGGGCAAAAACAGGCUGAUUUUCCCUGGAGAAAAGGUGCUGCUGGCGGUGUCUGGAGGGCCUUCUUCCUGCUCCAUGCUCAGUCAAGUGCAAGAGGGUUUGAGUCAGAAUGCUCACAAGAAGUUGAGAUUCUUACCCGGCAUUGUCUACAUUGACGAGGGGGGCGCUGUGGGUCAGUCGGUGGAGCACAGACAGAGGACGGUGGAGGAGCUCCGGGCUGUGUUCAGAGCUACAGGCUUCCCCUUCCUCAUGGUGCCUCUGGAGCAGGUUCUGGACCUUCCCAGUUCAGUUGUUCUGUCGGCUCCGGGAGCUCCAGAACAGGAAGCCGGCGCCUACAAAGCAGCCGUGGAUCACUUCCUGCUCAGCGACGGCAGCAGCGGUGUGACUGCAGGGCAGCAGCAGGAAACCCCCCCGCCUGAGGUCCAGGAGGCCCACACACACUCCCUGCAGCGGCUCCUGGGCUCUGCCAGGACCCUGACAGCCCGGGAGGAGCUGCUGAACAUACUGAGGCAGCACCUGCUGGUGCACACAGCGCGCUCUGCAGGCUACAGCAAGGUGAUGCUGGGGGACAGCUGCACCAGGCUGGCUGUGAAACUGCUUAGCAGCAUCUCACUGGGCAGAGGGGCUCAGCUGGCUCACGACACAGGUUUCUCAGACUCCAGGUAUGGUGACACCAUACUAGUGAGGCCAAUGAGGGACUACUCAGCUAAAGAAAUAGCUUACUACAACCGUAUGUUCAGCGUGCCGUCGGUGUUCACAGCGGGCCUGGACACUAAGACUGCAGACAAGUCCAGCAUCCAGCAUCUGACAGAGAGCUUUGUCAUCAAGCUGCAGGCAAACUUCCCCUCCACCGUCAGCACCAUCUACAGGACGAGCGAGAAGCUACAGAGCUGCAAGGGCUCUGCCUCAGCGGGGAGGGACAGGUGUCUGCUGUGUGUGUGCGCCCUGGACACUGCUGCUGAGAAUGCUUCAGCCUUCAGCGCCACCCUGAUCUCAGAGCAGCUCUCGCAGACUAAGUCUCCAGAAGAGAGCAGGCAAGCUCCAGAGUGGACUGCUCCCGCCUCACAGUGCUGCUCCAUUGUUAGAGGAGAGCUUUGUGGGAACCGUGGUAGAGGAUGCUGUUCGUCUGCCAACAGUGGUGUUACAGUCUGCAGCGGGGCAAAGUAGUGAAAGUAUUCUAAGUAUAGUGUGCCAUGGACUUUUGGAGGUGUCUUGUAUCGAGACUAGAAGACAGGAUCCGUGAUGCUGCUCUCACAGUAAGCUACAUGCUAACAUGUACGUAGCAUUAUCAUCACCAUCUUACUUUAGCGUGUUAGAAUUAGCACCGUCAACAUAAACAGUGAACAGAUAAAGCUGUGGCUGAUGUCAUUACUUGUGCAGCUUCGUAGUCUUUGUGUCUUUUCACGUGAUAUCAUUAUAUUUUUUGGGUGCAAUUGUAAAGCGGACACAAAAACAAAAUAAUAUGAAUAAAUGCUGUGGUGGUGUUGUUGUGUGACAGAGCCUCAGAGCCCCCCCCCCUGAGGAGUCUGCUGUGUUACAGCUGUCAGCUGACCAUCAAAGACAUGGUGAGGGACACAAUCUAAACUUUGUAUUUGUUGUUACAGGGGUCAGUUAAAUCAUUUAAUGUUUGACUUUGAGGAGACAAAAAUCAAGCUCUUGAAGUUUUAAAAAUAGACAUGGGUCACUGAAAGUGUUUGAAAGUCCUUUUGAAAUAUAAAAAGCAUAAUAGUAGCCAUGACAAUCACUAAAUAAACUAAUAUCACUUAAGUGAAGACAGAAAUAACAAUUCAACAUCUGUGGCACCUUCCAAUUCAUUCAUUUGAUUAAGACAUUUCGCAUUAAAAGCACAGAACGGAAAACAGAUUCCCAUCAUGCAUCAUCUCACUGAAAAUUCCAUGAGCAGGGGUCAAAGGACUCAAUGAGGAAGACCAUGUGCCUGCUGUUGGUAAAUAUAUGAUAGUUCUGCAGAAUGAGUAGCUUUCUUUACACGAUUACUCUCACUUUCAUCCCUCCAUCAUUGCAACCUGCACAGAAAAUGAUAUCAUACAUCAUUAGACUAUAAUCUAUCCACCAGUCACCUUUUCAAUACACUGAGUUAGACAUUUGACUUCUCACACUCACAAUAUUCUAAAUACCUCGGCAAAUGACCUUAUAACUGACUUCAUAUUAAUCUGAUGUGUCUGUACUUUAUGAUGUAACUAUCUAUAGACAAGUACUUCAAAAUAAUAAUACAUGAAUACACAUCAUAGCACUUAAAUGAAACUUUUAGCCGUUUGUUCAGUUUAGAUCUUCAUUAUUUUCUCUCGUGAAUUAAAAAUAUGCUUUUUAUUUUUGUAAUGCUACUGACGUUCACCUGUCGUGUCCCUGUCUCUUGAUCUGUUCUCUCACCAGUCGUCUGAGGAGGUUCUCCCGCAGUACAUCCUGUCGGAGGCUGAGACGAGGCUCAGGAGGUCUCAGCUGAGGGAGGAGAUCAGAGACUUCCUGUUGGAGGAUGAGGCUGAUGAAGGCUGAACGUUCUGCUGCAGUCAACAUAUCCAAAAUGCAAGACUGCUAUGAAAGUGAUGUUUAAAGUAUACAACUCUGCCCUUGCUGUGUGUGACACUGAGGAAAUGUGUAAAUGCUGUUAUAAUAAACGUAGUUAUUUUUAAGACAUAAAA